UUGAAUCACCAGUCAAAGAACUACAGUGUCUGUCAGAGAAUGGAAAACACACUUGUCUGGGGUUUAUUAUUUGUAGUUACUGUUCAUGGAGUUUGGAGUGAGAUCAAAAUGGACCAGUCUCCAUCGCAGGUGAAAACACUUGGAGAGACGGUGAAGAUGUCAUGUGUCAUGUCUGGGUUUGACAUGACAAAGUACUUUAUACACUGGAUACGGCAGAGGCCAGGGGAAGCUUUGGAGUGGAUCGGGCAGAUGAACGCAGGUUCAAACUCUGCCAGCUAUGGCAGCUCCUUUCAAAACCGUUUCAUCAUGACUGAGGAUGUUUCCAGCAGCACUCAGUUCCUCCAGGUCGAGAGUCUGAAAGCAGAAGAUGCUGCUGUUUAAUUCUGUGCUCGAGAGGACUACUUCGACUACUGGGGACAAGGAACACAAGUCACGGUAACUUCUGCUGCUUCAACCAAACCAACUGUGUUCCCUCUGAUGCCAUGUGGUUCUGGGACUGAAAGCAUGGUCACUCUGGGCUGCCUCGCCACCGGCUUCUCACCCUCCUCACUGACUUUCGCAUGGAACAAAAAUGGAGCUGCCUUGACAGGUUCUAUUCAGUACCCUUCGGUACUGAAAGGCGACCUCUACACAGGAGUCAGUCAAAUCAAAGUCCCGAAACAGGACUGGGAGACGAGCAAGCCGGGCCAUUACAAGUGUGCUGUGACACAUGCUGCAGGAAAUGGAGAAGCUUUGUUCCAAAGGAUAGCGAAAGUAUUUAACAAACCCGAGCUGAAAGUGUCGGCCAUCUCUGAUGAGCUAGGCGAGCUCUCCUUCAUCUGCACUGCCAAAGACUUUUCACCAAAAGGUCACCAGAUCAAAUGGCUGAAAAAUAAUGUGGCUAUCACUGAAUCACACAAAAUCUCUGAAUUCACAACCAUGAAAAGCGGGAAUGUUACAGCACUGUACAGUGUAGCAAGUAUUCUCACAAUGCAAUCCAGUGACAUGCCUACAUCGACCAAGAUUACGUGCGAGUUCAAGGGGAAAAACGAAACGAAUGAUGAAUUCACUCUGACCUACAUUCCAAGAACAAAUGGCGGAGAAUGCCCUAAAGCAGACGUGGACGUAACAAUCAACGGCCCCACAUUGGAAGACAUAUUUCUUGAGAAGAAAGGUACCAUAAUAUGCCAUGUUAAGGUGAAUAAGCCUUCUGUUGUGAGGAUAUAUUGGGAAAAUCAGAAGGGAAAUGAAAUUGCCGGUGCCUUUAUCGAACCGACUAGAAGCGAACCAACAUACAGCCUUCCUCUUAGCAUCACAUAUGACGAAUGGAGCCAGGGGAUUGAGCUCAACUGUGUUGUGAUGCAUAGUGAUGUGAUUGAUCCUAUAAAGACAACUUACGAAAGGAAAACUGGAGUGCUGAGUCAGCGUCCGUCAGUGUUUAUGAUGCCACCAGUAGAGCACAUAAAACAAAAAAUGGUUACUCUGACUUGCUUUGUGAAAGACUUCUACCCUGAAGAGGUUUUCGUUUCUUGGCUUGUUGAUGAUGUAUUGGCAACAGACGAUUUCAAUACCACAAGCCCUAUUGAUAACCAAGGAACCUACUCGGCUUAUGGCCAGUUAUCAAUCAGCCUCGACAAUUGGAAAACAGAUGGCUCGCAGUACAGCUGCGUGGUUUACCACCAAUCUCUGGUUUCCAAUACAAGAGCCAUUGUCAGAUCCAUUGGCUACAAUACAUUUGACAAACUCAACCUUGUCAACCUCAGCCUGAACAUACCUAGCACGUGCAACCCCCAGUAGAUGCUAUUUUGUGUCCUCUGCUGUUUGUUAAUGUUUGUUGCUUUUGAUAUAACAUUGUGUGUGUCUUUUUAAUGCAGAUUCAAAAUCAAAAUAAAAAAAAGCCCUUUGCAA